UGGGGAAUAUUGCACAAUGGGCGCAAGCCUGAUGCAGCCAUGCCGCGUGUAUGAAGAAGGCCUUCGGGUUGUAAAGUACUUUCAGUCGGGAGGAAGGUGGUAAGGUUAAUAACCUUAUCAAUUGACGUUACCGACAGAAGAAGCACCGGCUAACUCCGUGCCAGCAGCCGCGGUAAUACGGAGGGUGCAAGCGUUAAUCGGAAUUACUGGGCGUAAAGCGCACGCAGGCGGUUGAUUGCGUCAGAUGUGAAAUCCCCGGGCUUAACCCGGGAAUUGCAUCUGAUACUGGUCAGCUAGAGUCUUGUAGAGGGGGGUAGAAUUCCAGGUGUAGCGGUGAAAUGCGUAGAGAUCUGGAGGAAUACCGGUGGCGAAGGCGGCCCCCUGGACGAAGACUGACGCUCAGGUGCGAAAGCGUGGGGAGCAAACAGG
rnacentral:rRNA from 1 species